GUAGGUGAACCUGCGGAGGGAUCAUUNCAAGUGACCCCGGUUUACCACCGGGAUGUUCAUAACCCUUUGUUGUCCGACUCUGUUGCCUCCGGGGCGACCCUGCCUUCGGGCGGGGGCUCCGGGUGGACACUUCAAACUCUUGCGUAACUUUGCAGUCUGAGUAAACUUAAUUAAUAAAUUAAAACUUUUAACAACGGAUCUCUUGGUUCUGGCAUCGAUGAAGAACGCAGCGAAAUGCGAUAAGUAAUGUGAAUUGCAGAAUUCAGUGAAUCAUCGAAUCUUUGAACGCACAUUGCGCCCCCUGGUAUUCCGGGGGGCAUGCCUGUUCGAGCGUCAUUUCACCACUCAAGCCUCGCUUGGUAUUGGGCAACGCGGUCCGCCGCGUGCCUCAAAUCGACCGGCUGGGUCUUCUGUCCCCUAAGCGUUGUGGAAACUAUUCGCUAAAGGGUGCUCGGGAGGCUACGCCGUAAAACAACCCCAUUUCUAAGGUUGACCUCGGAUCAGGUAGGGAUACCCGCUGAACUUAAGCAUAUCAAUAAGCGGAGGAAAAGAAACCAACAGGGAUUGCUCUAG
rnacentral:rRNA from 1 species